CGUCAAAUCAUCAUGCCCCUUACGACCUGGGCUACACACGUACUACAAUGGCCGCUACAAAGGGCUGCGAAGCCGCGAGGCGGAGCCAAUCCCGCAAAGGCGGUCUCAGUUCGGAUUGCAGGCUGCAACUCGCCUGCAUGAAGUCGGAAUUGCUAGUAAUCGCGGAUCAGCAUGCCGCGGUGAAUACGUUCCCGGGUCUU
rnacentral:rRNA from 1 species